GGAGGCGUGUCCGAAUUGGCUAAGGAGCCGGUCUCGAAAAUCGGUGGGCUUUUAAAGCCCUUGUGGGUUCGAGUCCCACCGCCUCCGCCA
rnacentral:tRNA from 1 species